UCUGCGUAACUACGUUAACAAUGUCUAUCUUUUUUAGAACGAUAUAUAAAGUUAAAGAUCAGUUCAAAAACGGCAUGCACAUGAACUGCUUUUAAUCUUAAACAACAUAAGCACUAAUUAUACAGUAUUAAGAAGAUAGCAACAUAUGUGCCACAGUGAUGUACUUGAGGAAUCGAGAAUGGAUGGCGAGCAUUCCUCAUUCCCGCAGCUCACUCUUUUCCAGUCUAAUCCCAUAAAAAAUUGAUUCUGUCAAUCAAUUUCGCCCUGCCUGUAGGAUUGAUUUAACAACCUGUGAAGCCCUCUUUUCGGACGUUUGUCAUGAUAUAACGCUCACUGACCGAGAAUGUUCUCUAAAAAUCUGGUAGAAGUGAAGAAACUGAGUGGAAAAGCGUUUUCGAGAGGAGCCGAGUGAUUACACCUCACAGUCAAACCACCCGACAGGUCAAGGAUCUUCUCAAGGUCUACGGCUGCUGGUCUUCAAGCAGGUCGCUGGAAUUUACAUAAAUCAGUGAGAGGAGUCACAUGCACUCAGGUAUCAGCUGCGAGUGACCUUGUUUGACUCGGGUCACCAGCACUUCUUUGGGCACACAUGGAAGAGCGGAUUACACUCUGUCAGGGGCACAACGUUUUUGUUCUGGUCUAUUACUCUUCAAUGAGGAAAUAAGAGGGAAAAGAGUGGGAAUAGGAUCGGGAAAGGACCUCAUGAGCUGGGACUCUAACUUGGGUCACCGUCACUGCAUCAGCACCACAUGUCAUAUCCUGUUUCAUUGGCAUACCCAAAAUGAAAGGCUUAUAACUUGACAUGCAUCCGGUUACCUUGUGUGUGGGCUUGUUUGAAAGAUAAUCACCUCCUCUUAGAAAUGGAAAUCAAUAUUUCUGCCCAUGGAGACACAAACAUCCCUGCGAGCAGCUGGUCCUAAAAGGCACUCACACCCUUCAGAGUAACAGGGUCAGCUCUUGACAGAAAUGACGGGAGAGGAAGGAUUGAGAGAACUUCAGAGAAGGAAUUCUAAAAAAUGGAACUGAAGAAGUUGAACAGAUGGAAAUCGAGCUGAGGAACAGAGAGACAACCGGAGAAACUUUUUGUUGGAUGCGAGCAGAAAUGAGAGGCGCUGAGCGCAAAGAUGUCUUUGAAGAAUAUGAAUAUGAUGAAAUAAAAAAGAAUAGAGGGUGAGAUAAAUUGUUUAGGCUCCACAGUGUGUGGGUUGAACAUAAUUCUGCAAUCAGCAAUCCCCAUGGCUUCAUCUUCUCCUCUCCUCCUCAUCUCAUUCAAACUUCUCCACUCCUCUUUAUUCUCUCCUUCUGUCUACUCAAUCUCUUAAGAGCAGGUUGUGUCUUUAUAUUGGAACAUGUGCUAUAAGUUUGUGAUUGAUUUACUCUUUUGACUGAAGGAGCGACAGCUCUUAUGUAGUGUUUUUGAGAUGAGAGCACCAUGCAGAGAGAGAGACCAUGAGCAGGAGUCUUGAGAAGUUUGAUGUUAUGGAUUUAACAAAUCUAAAUGACUGGCUGCUGCUUGAGCUCCAAGUUCUGUGCUGAAAUGAUGCAUUUUAUCAGCCUUGUUUCACUUACAGCUUGUGCUUGAUACAGUAGAUUCCGAGAAGCAUACAGGAUGCUGAAGCAAAAAAUGUUUUUUUUUUUUACAGUAAAAUGCCAUCAGGAGGAUGAAAAAAAUCUCAGUCUAUCAGUCAGUCUAUCAAUUAAUGGGCCAAUUCUGGCCGGUUUGAAAUAUUUAAAAUGGUGACUGGAAGUUGUCAGUUAUUUGUCUCAGACUGCAUUCCUUAAGAAAAAAAUAAAAAUAAUAAUUUUCAAUAAUUUUUAUACAGAAUAUUCACUUGUUUGCAGUAAGACUCUGAUAAUUCUCGUUUACAUUUUUAAUCAUUCAGUUUCAAAGUUACUGGCACAUUUCAGAGGUUUUGCUAAAAAUUACUAUUCGUCAUUGUGACUGAAUGGGUUGUAGAUUUUCUGUCAGAGAAGAUUUAAAUAAUUAAAAUCAUGAACAAGUGACAAGACUGAGUUCAGUGAAGCAAAUAUAUUUUAUUUAUUAAUUUGGUCAAGUAAACAUUAAAUUUAAACAGUCAAAACUUUGUACAGUAAAUUAUUGUAACACACUAGAACAGCUCAUACCAAGUGCUGUGUUUUGGGUUUUUGUUCUUCUCUCGCAAUGUGAUCUGACGGUCUUGUGAUCUUGUCACCCAGUUUAAUAAAUAUUAGUCCAUGAACUGUUCCACUGGACAACACUUGGCAUCUCUCAUUUCUUUCCCCAAAUUCUCAUGUCUCUCUCCUGUUCUUUUUUCGCAAGGGCAAAUUAAACUUUUUUUCACCUUUCCUUCACUUAUUAUCCCUAACAACCUUUACUGUGGAUAUGCUUCAAAAGUAGAGAAAUAGACAAGAGUUAUAUGGUACUGUGCAAAAGUCUUAGGCAAAAAAAUAUAUUUUACCAAAGCAUCCAUCUUAAGAUGGUUAUUAAAAUCUUCAGCUUUUAGUGUGUCAAUAGAAAGUAUACAUUUUACACUCCCAAACAUUCCUUUUGUAAAUAGAAUAGAAUAGAAUAGAAGAACAAGGAGCAUCGCAACAGAUGGCAUGGCCCCCACAGAGUGCCCCACUGAACAUCGAGUCAGUCUGGGAUUACAUGAAGAGACAGAAGCAGUUUAAAUAGAUAGAAGAACGGUGGAAGCUUGAAACAUCCUAUAUGCUAACAACCAUGAAAAACUGUGUCCAGGUGUACUUAGGAGAAUUGGUGCUCUUUUGAAGGCAAAGGUUGUCACACCAUAUAUUGAUGUAGAUCUUUUUAUUUAUACUGGACUUUGUAUGAUGUUAAUUGAUAAAUGAAAAAUAUUGAUGGCAUUAUUUUUGAAGAUAUCCUCACUAUGCUACAUUUUUCACAAGUGCCUAAAACUUUUGCACAGUACUGUACUUUUUCUAGCUGUCAAAGUGACAGAUUGAGUAAAUGACAAAUUUGUUUUGGUUCCGAUGGAAAAAGUUCCAACUAGAGUAGAUGGUCAAGUAAUUGUUCACGCUACUGAAAGCAACUGAUGUAUGUUUUUAUUUAAGCGGUCAAAAUGAAUUUGUUACAGUGGUAGAUGUAACUGAUUCCAAACCAUCCAACAUGCUAAGUUUCACUCCACGAGAGAGGAUAAAAGAUCAUACAACGUUCUUAGUCUCUCCAAGAAGAUCGAUGAAACACCAAGUCUCACUACUAGCGUCAUAUGCUCUUUUAUUUACCCAUUCAUUUAUAUUAUUCUUUAACAUAUUAGUACUAUUUUGUAGUUUUUGUUAGUUAUUCUUGUUUGUCUUUUUGUAAAUAAAACA